rnacentral:rRNA from 1 species
UACGUAGGUGGCAAGCGUUGUCCGGAAUCAUUGGGCGUAAAGAGCUCGUAGGCGGCCUGUCGCGUCUGCUGUGAAAUCCCGGGGCUCAACCCCGGGCGUGCAGUGGAUACGGGCUGGCUGGAGGCAGGCAGGGGAGAACGGAAUUCCCGGUGUAGCGGUGAAAUGCGCAGAUAUCGGGAGGAACACCGGUGGCGAAGGCGGUUCUCUGGGCCUGUACUGACGCUGAGGAGCGAAAGCGUGGGGAGCGAACAGG